rnacentral:misc_RNA from 1 species
AACCUUAUGGACCUGCGGGCGUAUACCUGCGGAGGGAUCAUUACAGAGUUGCAAAACUCCCUAAACCAUUGUGAACGUUACCUAAACCGUUGCUUCGGCGGGCGGCCCGGGUCCUUCCCGGCGCCCAUCGGCCCUCGCGGGCGCCCGCCGGAGGUAAACCAAACUAUUGCAUUGUAUGGCCUCUCUGAGUCUUCUGUACUGAAUAAGUCAAAACUUUUAACAACGGAUCUCAGAUCGGAA